rnacentral:rRNA from 1 species
GAUGAACGCUGGCGGCGUGCCUAAUACAUGCAAGUCGAGCGAACAGAUGAGGAGCUUGCUCCUCUGACGUUAGCGGCGGACGGGUGAGUAACACGUGGAUAACCUACCUAUAAGACUGGGAUAACUUCGGGAAACCGGAGCUAAUACCGGAUAAUAUAUUGAACCGCAUGGUUCAAUAGUGAAAGACGGUUUUGCUGUCACUUAUAGAUGGAUCCGCGCCGCAUUAGCUAGUUGGUAAGGUAACGGCUUACCAAGGCAACGAUGCGUAGCCGACCUGAGAGGGUGAUCGGCCACACUGGAACUGAGACACGGUCCAGACUCCUACGGGAGGCAGCAGUAGGGAAUCUUCCGCAAUGGGCGAAAGCCUGACGGAGCAACGCCGCGUGAGUGAUGAAGGUCUUCGGAUCGUAAAACUCUGUUAUUAGGGAAGAACAAAUGUGUAAGUAACUAUGCACGUCCUGACGGUACCUAAUCAGAAAGCCACGGCUAACUACGUG